rnacentral:rRNA from 1 species
AUUGAACGCUGGCGGAAUGCUUUACACAUGCAAGUCGAACGGCAGCACGGACUUCGGUCUGGUGGCGAGUGGCGAACGGGUGAGUAACAUAUCGGAACGUAUCCAAUAAUGGGGGAUAACGAGUCGAAAGAUUCGCUAAUAACGCAUACGCCCUACGGGGGAAAGCUGGGGACCUUCGGGCCUGGCGUUAAUGGAGCGGCCGAUAUCUGAUUGGAUAGUUGGUGAGGUAAAAGUUGACCAAGGCGACUGUCAGUAGCUGGUCUGAGAGGACGACCAGCCACACUGGAACUGAGACACGGUCCAGACUCCUACGGGGGGCAGCAGUGGGGAAUUUUGGACAAUGGACGCAAGUCUGAUCCAGACAUUCCGCGUGCAGGAGGAAGGCCUUCGGGUUGUAAACUGCUUUUGUACGGAACGAAAAGGUCUCUCUUAAGACGGGGGACUCAUGACGGUACCGUAAGAAUAAUCACCGGCUAACUACGUGCCAGCAGCCGCCGUAA